rnacentral:rRNA from 1 species
GAUGAACGCUGGCGGCGUGCCUAAUACAUGCAAGUCGAGCGAACAGACGAGGAGCUUGCUCCUCUGACGUUAGCGGCGGACGGGUGAGUAACACGUGGAUAACCUACCUAUAAGACUGGGAUAACUUCGGGAAACCGGAGCUAAUACCGGAUAAUAUAUUGAACCGCAUGGUUCAAUAGUGAAAGACGGUUUUGCUGUCACUUAUAGAUGGAUCCGCGCGGUAUUAGCUAGUUGUUAAGGUAACGGCUUACCAAGGCAACGCUGCGUAGCCGACCGAAGAGGUGGAUCGCCCACAUGGGAACUGGGACACGGUCCAGACUACUACGGGAGGCAGCAGUAGGGAAUCUUACGCAGUGGGCGAAAGCCUGACGGAGCAACGCCGCGUGAGUGAUGAAGGUCUUCGGAUCGUAAAACUCGGUUAUUAGGGAAGAACAAAUGUGUAAGUAACUAUGCACGUAUUGACGGUACCUAAUCAGAAAGCCACGGCUAACUACGUG